UGAGCCCAGGCUAGAUUCAGGUUUGUUUAUUCUAGACUUAGCUCUUAUACCAUUACAAGCUGCUUCUCAGUAUGAUAUGGGUGGUAAGGGUGCUUUUCUAAAGGUAUUCAUAAAUUAUAUUGGAUUUUUAUUUGCUAAUUUGUCUUAAGACAUAAGACAAGGUCUCACUAUGUAGCCCCACCUGGCCUUCCUCAGCCUCAUAGAGAAUGGCUAACCUGGGCUACAUUUUGAAACUGUAUCAAAUAAACAAACAAAAAACCCACAAUCCCAAAAAAAAAAAAAACAUAACAAACAAAACAUUCCCAGAUUGAAGCAUCAUAGAAGGCAGACUGGCUAUUGAAUUUUCUCAUUGCCACAUAUUGAAGAACUUGAUAAAAGUUGAUUGAUGUCAAGCUAUAACUGGAGGGCAAAAAGUAACCAGUACUCUGGGCACUGCAGAUACUGAGCUGUAAACUCUUCAAGUGAAUUUUUUUCCAGAUGCACAUUCUAGGCUAGUGUUUUACUGUAGAGCCAAAUUCCCAGCCAUUUGUCAGUUGACUUCUUGUUUUGCUUUUCUGUGAAUUUCUGUUGUUUUUCAAGACAGGAUUUCACUAUAUAAAGAGUGCUAGCCUUGAUAGAGAUCCACCUGCCUUUGCAUCCCAGCUACUAGGAGGGAUGAAAGGUGUGCACUUCUAUACCUGUCCCAUGUGUCUGCUCUGGAGAUAGAAUUUUUUUGAGCCUUUCUAUGAUUUUAAGGCCAGCCUGGUCUACAGGGUGACUUCCAGGAUAGUUAGGGCUACACAGAGAAACCCUAUCUUGAAAAAUUCAAAAAUACUUGGGGGGGAAAAAACCCAAACCCCUGUGUUAUGCUGCAUUGUGCUCCAGAUUUUGGACCAAUUGAUAUAUAUUAAAACAUGAUUUUUAUAAUGUAGAAAUAAUCACAGUUAUAUUUUAAACGUUUAAAUUAAGAUUAUUUUAUUGUGUAAAGGUAUCUUUUACUCAUCUGAAGUAAUUAUUAUCUUGGAGCUUACUGCUAAAUAAACCCACCCUUUCAAGCUC